rnacentral:rRNA from 1 species
GAUGAACGCUGGCGGCGUGCCUAAUACAUGCAAGUCGAGCGAACGGACGCGAAGCUUGCUUCUCUGAUGUUAGCGGCGGACGGGUGAGUAACACGUGGAUAACCUACCUAUAAGACUGGGAUAAAUUCGGGAAACCGGAGCUAAUACCGGAUGAUAUUUUGAACCGCAUGGUUCAAAAGUGAAAGACGGUCUUGCUGUCACUUAUAUAUGGAUCCGCUCUGCAUUAGCUAGUUGGUAAGGUAACGGCUUACCAAGGCAACGAUGCCUAGCCGACCUGAGAGGGUGAUCGGACACACUGGAACUGAGACGCGGUCCAGACUCCUACGGGAGGCAGCAGUAGGGAAUCUUCCGCAAUGAGCGAAAGCCUGACGGAGCAACGCCGCGUGAGUGAUGAAGGUCUUCGGAUCGUAAAACUCUGUUAUUAGGGAAGAACAUAUGUGUAAGUAACUGUGCACAUCUUGACGGUACCUAAUCAGAAAGCCACGGCUAGCUACGUG